CUGUAAGCUGCCAGGGAGCCGCCAAUGCCACCCGUCAAGUACACAAGGGGAAGGAAAGGAAGGAAGGGAAGGAAAGGGCCAAUUAACAGCUCUGUGACUUCACCUCCUACUUUCUUUUGGCCUGUGCCUCUCAUCUCCAUCCUCUGUACCUCACUUCCUCCUCUCCUCACCAGUUGACCCGCAUGAUGCUUCUCGUCAUCAACUACACCACAAGCAGUCGACAGACGUCCUCUGUGAAGGCGACUGGUUGUCGUCCUCUCCUCCCCUCUCGACCUGCGGCUCCACGAGGACGCGCCGGGCACACACACCCUGAGGAAGUGAAGCGUGAGCGAGCGCCACCACUUCAGUGCGUUGACACCGGGGACGUCCCCACGGACGACCAGGGAGGACUGCUACUGGAUUAUAAUCCAACACUUAUUUACAAAUGCGACAUGUUUGGACUUCACAUUGAAACACAAGCAUUUAAAUAUAGUGAAGCAGCUUGAAGACCACCUGUAUGGACACCUCAUCAUCACACACUGCCUCAAGCAGCGCUGCAUUCACACCAACAGACAUUGUGUAACUCGCUUUGGAUCACAGCGUUAUGCUGGAUGACACGUUAUAAUGUCAUUAUGUGAAUUAUAUUCUUUAUUGUAACGUUAAACCUAUAACUGUUUGUAAUAAUGUGAAUUAUCUUCUUUAAUGUAACAUUAAACCUAUAACUGUUUAAUAAUGUCAUUAUGUGAAUUAUAUUCUUUAUUGUAACA